rnacentral:rRNA from 1 species
AGAACAACUCUCAGCAACGGAUAUCUUGGCUCCUGCAACGAUGAAGAACGCAGCGAAAUGCGAUACGUAGUGUGAAUUGCAGAAUUCCGCGAAUCAUCGAGUUUUUGAACGCAAGUUGCGCCCGAGGCUUGUCCGAGGGCAUUUCCGCUAGAGCGUCACC